AGAGUUUGAUCCUGGCUCAGAACGAACGCUGGCGGCAGGCUUAACACAUGCAAGUCGAACGCACCGCAAGGUGAGUGGCAGACGGGUGAGUAACGCGUGGGAACGUGCCCUUCAGUUCGGGAUAACCCAGGGAAACUUGGGCUAAUACCGGAUACGUGCGAGAGCAGAAAGAUUGAUCGCUGAAGGAUCGGCCCGCGUCUGAUUAGCUAGUUGGUAGGGUAAUGGCCUACCAAGGCGACGAUCAGUAGCUGGUCUGAGAGGAUGAUCAGCCACAUUGGGACUGAGACACGGCCCAAACUCCUACGGGAGGCAGCAGUGGGGAAUAUUGGACAAUGGGCGCAAGCCUGAUCCAGCCAUGCCGCGUGAGUGAUGAAGGCCUUAGGGUUGUAAAGCUCUUUCGGCGGGGACGAUAAUGACGGUACCCGCAGAAGAAGCCCCGGCUAACUUCGUGCCAGCAGCCGCGGUAAUACGAAGGGGGCUAGCGUUGUUCGGAAUCACUGGGCGUAAAGGGCGCGUAGGCGGCCUGAUAAGUCGGGGGUGAAAGCCUGUGGCUCAACCACAGAAUUGCCUUCGAUACUGUCGGGCUUGAGACCGGAAGAGGUAAGUGGAACUGCGAGUGUAGAGGUGAAAUUCGUAGAUAUUCGCAAGAACACCAGUGGCGAAGGCGGCUUACUGGUCCGGUUCUGACGCUGAGGCGCGAAAGCGUGGGGAGCAAACAGGAUUAGAUACCCUAGUAGUCC
rnacentral:rRNA from 1 species